rnacentral:hammerhead_ribozyme from 1 species
AUUCAGCUGAAGAGUCCCAUAUAGGUCGAAACGCGUGUCCUGGAU